UACGGGGGGGGCAAGCGUUGUUCGGAAUUACUGGGCGUAAAGGGCUCGUAGGCGGCCAACUAAGUCAUACGUGAAAUCCCUCGGCUUAACCGGGGAACUGCGUCUGAUACUGGAUGGCUUGAGUUCGGGAGAGGGAUGCGGAAUUCCAGGUGUAGCGGUGAAAUGCGUAGAUAUCUGGAGGAACACCGGUGGCGAAGGCAGCUCGCUGGGACGUUACUGACGCUGAGACGCGAAAGCGUGGGGAGCAAACAGG
rnacentral:rRNA from 1 species